rnacentral:rRNA from 1 species
UACGUAGGGCGCGAGCGUUGUCCGGAUUUAUUGGGCGUAAAGAGCUCGUAGGCGGCUUGUUGCGUCGACUGUGAAAACCCGCGGCUUAACUGCGGGCUUGCAGUUGAUACGGGCAGGCUAGAGUUCGGUAGGGGAGACUGGAAUUCCUGGUGUAGCGGUGAAAUGCGCAGAUAUCAGGAGGAACACCGGUGGCGAAGGCGGGUCUCUGGGCCGAUACUGACGCUGAGGAGCGAAAGCGUGGGGAGCGAACAGG